GACGAACGCUAGCGGCGUGCCUAAUACAUGCAAGUCGAGCGCAGGAAACUGACGGAACUCUUCGGAGGGAAGGCAGUGGAAUGAGCGGCGGACGGGUGAGUAACACGUAAGGAACCUGCCUCAAGGAUUGGGAUAACUCCGAGAAAUCGGAGCUAAUACCGGAUAGUUCAACGGACCGCAUGGUCCGUUGAUGAAAGGCGCUCCGGCGUCGCCUUGAGAUGGCCUUGCGGUGCAUUAGCUAGUUGGUGGGGUAACGGCUCACCAAGGCGACGAUGCAUAGCCGACCUGAGAGGGUGAUCGGCCACACUGGGACUGAGACACGGCCCAGACUCCUACGGGAGGCAGCAGUAGGGAAUCCUCCACAAUGGACGAAGUCUGAUGGAGCAACGCCGCGUGAGUGAAGAAGGUUUUCGGAUCGUAAAGCUCUGUUGUAAGGGAAGAACACGUACGAGAGGAAAUGCUCGUACCUUGACGGUACCUUACGAGAAAGCCACGGCUAACUACGUGCCAGCCGCCGCCGUAA
rnacentral:rRNA from 1 species